GAGCUACUCCCUCCGUCCGGAAAUACUUGUCCUAAAGAUGAAUGUAUCUAGACUUAUUUUAGUUAUAGAUACAUCCAUUAUAUCCAUUUCUAGGACAAGUAUUUCCGGACGGAGGGAGUACUUG
rnacentral:pre_miRNA from 1 species